rnacentral:rRNA from 1 species
AGGGUGGAUGACCUGUAACCAGUCAGGAGCCAACACAGGUGCUGCAUGGCUGUCGUCAGCUCGUGCCGUGAGGUGUUCCCUUAAGUGGGGAAACGAGCGCAACCCUCACUCUUAGUUGCCAGCACUUCGGCGUUUCGUCGAAGGUUGGGCACUCUAAGGGGACUGCCCACGUUAAGUGGGAGGAAGGUGGGGAUGACGUCAAGUCCGCAUGGCCCUUAUGUCCUGGGCUACACACGUGUUACAAUGGAGCGUACAACGGGAAGCCAAACCGUAAGGUGGAGCAAAUCCUUAAAAGCGCUCCUUAGUUCAGAUCGAGGUUUGCAACCCAACCUCGUGAAGCCGGAAUCGCUAGUAAUGGCGCAUCAGCUACGGCGCCGUGAAUACGUUCCCGGGCCUUGUACACACCGCCCGUCAAGCGCUGAAAGUGAGGGGCACCCGAAUCAUCUUUUAUAGAUGACACGGUGAAACUCAUGAUUGGCGCUAAGUCGUAACAAGGUAGCCGUACGGGAACGUGCGGCUGGAUCACCUCCUUU